rnacentral:lncRNA from 1 species
UGGCACUGUUACCUUGGCUGAUGGAGGAGGAGGAGGAGAAAUCUUUGGUAGAGGUGGAGCUGCGCCCAGCGGAACAACUAAGGAGGAUCGGACUUGCGUUCCCAUUUUACCUAUUUUAUGCUUAAAAGGAUUCUAGAAGUUGAUUAGCAAGGUCUUCUGCAAAGCAAAAGCUUAAACCUUAGCGUGCAACUUUUUGUAAUCGAAAUUUUUUCCCUUGAUACUGCACAGUAAAAUUAACAAUCAACACAAUCAAUAUGAAGUAUUAGCAAGCAAACAAAAGAAAUCAUAACCUUACCCAUGAACAAGAUAGUGGCGACCUGAGUACAUAGAAGUACUCAAG